rnacentral:rRNA from 2 species
CAAGGAGUCUUGCUCGUGCCGAGUCCAAUGGCCCUGCGAAGCCUAAAGGCGCAGCGAAAGCAAAGAUCGCGAUCCCCGCUCUCUUUCGGACGGGGCGCAGCGACCGCCCGUUCCGACUUUACGUGGGACGGAGCGAGAGCACGAGGGCAAGGACCCGAUAGGUGGUGAACUAUUCUCGGGCAGGACGAAGGCCGGGGAAACUCGGCUGGAGGUCCGAAGCGGUUCUGACGUGCAAAUCGAUCGUCCGACCCGAGUAUAGGGGCGAAAGACCAAUCGAACCACCUGGUAGCUGGUUCCCUUCGAAAUUUCUCUCAGGAUAGCUGGCGCUCAUUCGUAGCAGUCUCGUCCGGUAGAGAGAAUGAUUAGAGCUGCUCGGGGACGCCCGUGUCACUCGACCUCUUCUCAAACUACCAACGGCCGAGAGAGGGCUUCUCUCUUGCGUGGAGAAGCCCAAAUG